AACGAACGCUGGCGGCAGGCCUAACACAUGCAAGUCGAACGCUGUAGCAAUACAGAGUGGCAGACGGGUGAGUAACGCGUGGGAACGUGCCUUUCGGUUCGGAAUAACUCAGGGAAACUUGAGCUAAUACCGGAUACGCCCUUCGGGGGAAAGAUUUAUUGCCGAAAGAUCGGCCCGCGUCCGAUUAGCUAGUUGGUGUGGUAAUGGCGCACCAAGGCGACGAUCGGUAGCUGGUCUGAGAGGAUGAUCAGCCACACUGGGACUGAGACACGGCCCAGACUCCUACGGGAGGCAGCAGUGGGGAAUAUUGGACAAUAGGCGCAAGCCUGAUCCAGCCAUGCCGCGUGAGUGAUGAAGGCCCUAGGGUUGUAAAGCUCUUUCGCCAGGGACGGUAAUGACGGUACCUGGAUAAGAAGCCCCGGCUAACUUCGUGCCAGCAGCCGCCGUAA
rnacentral:rRNA from 1 species